UGUUCUGCUCGGUCCUGCUCCUCCGUGGCGUGCGGUUAAAAAUCGUAACAAACGGGAUUUUGAAAAGUGUGUGUGUGUGUGUGUGUGGAUGGGGGGCAUGUCCCCCCUGUCCCCGUGGAAAUUACGCCCCUGGUAUAAGGCAGUCUGUGUCUUUUGUGGCUUGUCGUAGACAAGAGAAUGGGCACGCGAAUGAGUUGAGGUUUUGUGCGAUGCAGAGAAAAGUGGAAUAAAAGUUUGUACAGCCUCCCAGUGCUGGUGAGCUGAACAGAGCCAGGUGCGAUGUUCAGGUUCAGUCUCCAGACUCCUUCAGCUCCCAGUCUGCGGUUGUUCAGCCAUACAAUGAGCUACUGCCCACUGCAUCUCACAAUGACCCUUCAGCUUUUGUUCUGCCUCUCACUGCUGGAAAACUGGACUUCACCUGGAAGAAUGUUCAGUUCCUCUCUGCUGACUACUUCAGCUUCCAGUCUAGGGUAUUGUACAGGGCUGCAGCUGAGAUACAAACACCAUUAGUUCUAAUGUUUAGGUUUUUUUUUUGUAUUUCUAGUCAGUGGACAUUAAGACAUACAACCUCAGGAUGAUAAGGGGUCUGGAGUGUGUGAUCUGCUGGCUCUAGACCUGCUACUUGAACCACAUGGGAUUCCCUUAUGAUACCAGUAUUGAGGAUUGUUUCACUGGCGUUAAGAGCGUGUCUGGGAGUUUUACAGAAUACAUUUGCUGUAACUGCAUGGAAUGAUCCAUCAUUGUGGCACUGGAGGAUUAUGUGCAUGUGUUUUAAGAUGGGCCGGUGGACACAGCCACUUGCGUAAAGGAAGGUGUUUGCUCUCCUCAUAGUUCACAGAGCAACUCUGAGGAGUGUGAGGAGAGAUUUAGCCCAGAGGAGGUGGAGGUGCCCUUUAUUAGCUCCGGAUGUUUUGGGCUCAGCCCCUGAUGUUUUCAAAUCCUAGAUACGUCCCUGCUCACCGCCAGGCGUUUUCUACUAUUUUAGCCUGCAUCCUUAAUCAGAACUUCCUGUUUUUGACUGGAAAGAAGAUUGUGAUGCGACUGGCAGCAGCUAACAACCAGGACCCAGUUCAUGUACAGUUGGGCUACGAGGCUCUGAUUCGGUUCCUGAGGACAUCAUCUAACCUGGAAUCGACUGAUACAGAUACAGGUCAAGAGUUUCUGUUAAUGCUUACAUCGAACAUCAGAAUGAGGGAAAGUGUGAUUUCUGUGGCAUUGAGAAACAAAACAAGCUGAGUGAUCGAGAGUUCUGUGGGUGGAAAUGCUUUGUUGAUAACAGAGCUCAAAGUAAAAUAGCCUGAUUGGUUAAAACUACCAUUACAACCUUGAGGGUUGUGGAUGGGCUACAACAGCAGUGGACAUCAGGUUCUGAGACUGUUAUGGGCACAGACUUUCACUUUUGACUUUCACUGUUUACUCACUUUUUAAGCUUUAACUGUAUAAUUUCUAGGAAUGUGUGCUCAUAUUGGCCUCAAAUUCCUGUUCUACGCAGACAGGAGUGAAAUCUGAUGUGGUCUUCUGUUGUAGGCUAGUUUUGAUGUGGAUGCCACUUUUCUGCUGACCAUAGUUGUAAAGAGUGCUUAUUCGAGUUACUGUAAACUUCCAGUUAGCCCAAACCAGCCUGGUGAUUCUCCUCUGAUCAGCAAGAUGUUGCAGAAUACAGACUCUACACUCAAAGAUGUUUUGUUCUUUUGAACCAUUCUGUGUAAACUCUAGAGUGUUGAUUGUGAAACUCCCAAGAGAUCAACAGUUUCAAAAGUACUCAACCCAUGGAUAAAGUCACAGAGAUCACGCUUUUUCCCAUUCUGAUGUUUGAUGUGAACAUUAACUGAACUCUUGGCCUGUAUCUGCAUGAUUGUAUGUAUUGCGCUGCUGUCACAUGACUGGCUGACUGGAUAAAUGAGAAGGUGUUUAGGUGUUCCUAUUAAAGUGGAAAGUGAGUGUAAGUUAUACGUAAUAAGGUAAUUGCCUUUUCAUCCAUCCAUCGCAUUUCAUACUUAUUUCAACAACGUGUUUAAAUGAAAAACGUGUUUGUUAGAUCCAAUUCCAACUAGAUUGCUGAAAGAAGUGAUACAUGCAGCUGGAGAGCCUCUACUCAAUAUUAUUAAUUCCUCGUUAUAUCUAGGUCAUGUCCCAAAACCUCUCAAGUUAAGCCUCUCAGUUAAGCCUCUUCUUAAGAAACCUAAACUAGACCCUAAUGAAUUAUCAAAUUACAGACCGAUUUCAAACCUUCCAUUUAUAUCUAAAAUAUUAGAAAAGGUGGUGUCUGCUCAACUAUGCUCCUUCUUACAGGAAAACAACAUCUUUGAAGAAUUUCAGUCAGGUUUCAGGCCCCAUCAUAGCACAGAAACUGCACUAGUAAAAAUCACAAAUGACUUGUUUUUAGCUUCGGACCAAGGCUGCAUCUCAGUAUUAGUCCUGCUUGAUCUUAGUGUUGCAUUCGGCACUAUAGAUCAUAACAUUCUCGUAGAUUGCUUACAAAAUCACAUAGGUAUGCAGGGACAGGUAUUAAAAUGGUUUAGAUCCUACCUGUCUGAUCAAUACCAUUUUGUAGAUUUAAAUGGUGAACUGUCCAGUGUAAUGCCAGUGAAAUACAGGGUUCCACAAGGAUCAGUUUUAGGACCUCUCUUUUCUCAAUAUACAUGCUUCCCUUGGAUAACAUCAUUAGAAGGCAUGGGAUUAGUUUCCAUUCUUAUACUGACAAUACCUAGUUAUAUAUCUCAUCAAAACCAUAUGAAAUAUCUAAAUUGACUGAUUAACUGAGUGUGUUAAAGAUUGGAUGACUGACAAUUUUCUAUUACUAAACUCUGAUAAGACAGAAAUAUUACUUAAUGGUCCAAAAACCAGUACACAAAAGCUCUCACAAUUCAGCUUGCAUUUAGAAGGGUGUACUAUUACUACUAGCUUGACAGUGAAAGACCUGGGCGUAAUAUUGGACAGCAACUUGUCCUUUGAAAAUCAUAUUUCCGAUAUUACAAAAGCAGCCUUCUUUCACCUUAGAAAUAUUGCCAAGCUUAGGAACAUUUUAUCUGUAUCUGAUGCUGAAAAGCUAGUUCAUGCAUUCAUGACCUCCAGACUGGACUAUUGUAAUGCAUUACUAGGUGGUUGUCCUGCAUCUUCAAUAAACAAGCUACAGUUAGUCCAGAAUGUAGCUGCCAGAGUUCUUACCAGGUCAAGAAAAUAUGAACAUAUAACCUCAAUUUUAUCAUCCCUGCACUGGCUACCUGUUAAGUUUAGAAUUGACUAUAAACUAGCACUACUUACGUUCAAGGCUCUAAAUGGUUUAGCUCCUACAUAUCUAGCCAGUCUUCUACAAUCCACCACGCUCCUUAAGAUCACAAACCUCUGGACUUAUGGUAGUUCUCAGAAUAUCAAAGGCUACAAAAGGAGAGAGAGCGUUUUUGUAUUUAGCUCCUAAACUUUGGAAUAGUCCUCCUGACAGUGUUUGGGGCUCAGACACAGUCUCCCAGUUCAAACAAACAGCAGCUAUGCUAAUUACUUUCCACUUGUUUCCCUUCUUCUACCCAUCCCGAGGCAUCCAGAGAUUGUGCCAGCUCCAGUGGCAUCCAGAGAUGGACCAGCUCCAGCCGGGUUCUGCUUUGUGAGGACUGGGGUAUUCAAAGCAACGCUGCCAACCCUGUGUGGACGACAACAACCUCCUUAUUAAUUUACACAACAUUCUACACAUGCUGUAUCUGCAUCACACAAUUGACUAUAUAUAAAUGCAGAAAAGGACAUUGUUCAUAUCACAUAUCUUUCUGGUGUCAUUUAAUUAAUACAAUUAUUACAAUUAUUAAUUGUAACUCCUCCUAAAGCUUUCGAGCUACAUGCACCAAACUCUGCAUGGUUGUUGUGCCUAAUGUUAUGUUGUGCCUGUUAUGCUAUUAUUUUUCUAAGCGAUCGGAAUUCCUCAAAGUGGCCUUUUUCCAGAUAGAAUUCCAUUCAAAACUUUGGAGGUUUAUAAUUCGGUGGGCUUUAGAGCAAACUCGACACCAAAUCCUGGUGCUCCUUCAGAAUCUUGGGCCAGAUGAAGCCGUACAUUUUAGAACCAAUCGGACAUUCGGUGUACCCAUAGCGUAAGAUCGAAAAUCCAAAAAUUCCCAUGGACUUGUAUUGAUGGAAUUUAGAAUCCUGAAAAAACCUCACAGACGCAGUGUACACACACACACUAACACUGCCUUAAGCUUAUAGAUCAUUCACAGAAUCAUAUGAAAAAAUAAUAUUUCCAUUACAUCUCCCUCCUUUUGUCUUUAAGGGACAACUUAAAUCCAGGCAAAAUUUAUUUUAUAGUUAGUAAGUGUUUGCAUGUAUCUUAGAUUACAUCAGGUUUAUGUUUCUCUUUUCACUUUUCAACACUACCAUCACAUGUCAAGUUGUACCAUUUUACAGAAAGGACUAUACUGCUGUUUUUGCAAGAGAAGGACCUCUCUGAGAUUUAGCAACAAAGGUGGUGUGGCUCUUUUGUCUGGACUGGAUGUGGCCUGCGGUUCUUCAAGAUCAGCUGUUUGGGUAGAAAUCUUAGACGUGAUGAAAUUCAGUCAUUUGUUUUCAAGUUUUGCUGCUGCCUUGGCUGCUGCAUCUGCUUUAGCAUUUCCCUGUGACAUAGGAUCAGUGAGUUUAGUAUGUGCUUCACAUUUACAAAUUGCAAUAGCUUGUGGUAAAAGGAUAGCAUCUCAGAGAUCAGGCCAUGAUGCAUGAUUGGUUUGCCUGAAGAAGUCAGAAAACCUCUGUUUCCACAAUGUGCCAAAAUCAUGCACUACUCCAAAUGCAUAUCUGCUAUCUGUGAAGAUGUUUACUGUUUUAACUUGUGCCAAUUUGCAUGUUGAGUGGACAGAUGUGAUGGGAGCGGUCGUGCCUAUAAUGUGUCAUGUUGAGUUACUACUGCAUAACCCAUGCAGUUCUUGCCUAUGUCUGGGUCUCUGGAUGCUGGUCCAUCAACAAACAGCUCUAGGCCUGGAUUUUGCAAUGGUGUUUUCUCCAGCUCUGGCCUAAGACUACAAAUUUGGCUCUGGGAUACCCAGUGUUAGUGUAAUUUGUAGAGUUCUUUUAACUUUCUCAAAUGCCUAUUCUGCUUCUGGGGUUCAAAUAAAAAAUAUACUGUGAGUCCUUCCCAUGAACUAUAUCACUCAAGGAAACCUCGAGGAUUGUGUAAUCUAGGACAAACAUCCUGCAAUAUGAGCACAUUCCGAGGAAUGGUAUAAAAUGUUUCUUUCUGAUUUGGUUUUGCAAUGCUUUGUAUGGCUUCAAUUCUACUAGUUUCUAAUUUUUUGCCAUCUGCUGAGAUCACGUCUUAGAAAUUUCACUUCUUGUUGUACAAAUUGCAGUUUAGAUAGGCUAGCCUUGUGUUCCUCUUUAGCGAGGUGAUGGAGUAAUGCAAUUUUGUCAGUUUCACACUCUUCUUUUACCACUGGAUAAAGUAGUGAAUAACCUGUUACUGUUACUAUCCUUGCGAUGUUAGCUUCUCUUAGUGCAGCUUUUGACAGCAUUGACCACACUAUUCUACUUGAUAGACUAGAAAAUAUUGUAAAAUGUUACCACUCUUGCAUGUCGCUCAGUUUUGCUGUCUGUGGAGUGAUUGGAUGCUUUAUGUCCCUGGAAGUCCUCAUAUCUGAGUCACCUUUUGGCUCUUCCUUUUAGUUAUGAAGUCAUAGUUGGUCUUGCCAGAGUACCUACCUGCACUUUGUGCAUAAUGUACAUUACCUUGACCCAUUACAUGCAUACUUAUAUCUUCUCUCUCUCCACGAUGCUAUGCACAGUGAGUGCCUGUGUGAGGAAAUUAAUCAUAUAGCAAGUACUAGACUUAAAAUAUGUUGUGCAUAGUCAAAGCACAUUAAAACAAAAUUAAAUUAAAACAAAUAUAGUAAUAUCAGUUAAUAGUACUUCACGUGAUGAAUUGUUUGUGUUGAGAGAUUCUCUAUCUUAGCAAAUUAAACUAAUUUAUCCCUCAUAUUUCAAAGUGUUGUCACCAUUUUAGGUAAGAUUUUGUCAAUAGCAACUAUAUCAACUCUGAGAACUUGAUAUUCACCAUUUGUGUCAUUAGAAAAAUAAAAGAAUUGUAUUCAUUAAAUCUAUGCCUGUUUAAAAAAAAGUUCACUGGUUUUAUACCAUUACACCAAACUCCUGAUGAAGACCAUAAGGACACAAAAAAGAACAAGUAUGAAUUCUUAGAAAUUAAGUAUUUAUUAUUUUUC